UACGAAGGGGGCUAGCGUUGCUCGGAAUCACUGGGCGUAAAGCGCACGUAGGCGGCUUCUUAAGUCAGGGGUGAAGUCCUGGAGCUCAACUCCAGAACUGCCCUUGAUACUGAGGAGCUCGAGUCCGGAAGAGGUGAGUGGAACUGCGAGUGUAGAGGUGAAAUUCGUAGAUAUUCGCAAGAACACCAGUGGCGAAGGCGGCUCACUGGUCCGGUACUGACGCUGAGGUGCGAAAGCGUGGGGAGCAAACAGG
rnacentral:rRNA from 1 species